AUUGAACGCUGGCGGCAGGCCUAACACAUGCAAGUCGAACGGUAACAGGAAGAAGCUUGCUUCUUUGCUGACGAGUGGCGGACGGGUGAGUCAUGUCUGGGAAACUGCCUGAUGGAGGGGGAUAACUACUGGAAACGGUAGCUAAUACCGCAUAACGUCGCAAGACCAAAGAGGGGGACCUUCGGGCCUCUUGCCAUCGGAUGUGCCCAGAUGGGAUUAGCUAGUAGGUGGGGUAACGGCUCACCUAGGCGACGAUCCCUAGCUGGUCUGAGAGGAUGACCAGCCACACUGGAACUGAGACACGGUCCAGGCUCCUACGGGAGGCAGCAGUGGGGAAUAUUGCACAAUGGGCGCAAGCCUGAUGCAGCCAUGCCGCGUGUAUGAAGAAGGCCUUCGGGUUGUAAAGUACUUUCAGCGGGGAGGAAGGGAGUAAAGUUAAUACCUUUACUCAUUGACGUUACCCGCAGAAGAAGCACCGGCUAACUCCGUG
rnacentral:rRNA from 1 species